CCUACGGGAGGCAGCAGUGGGGAAUUUUGGACAAUGGGGGAAACCCUGAUCCAGCCAUUCCGCGUGUGCGAUGAAGGCCUUCGGGUUGUAAAGCACUUUUGGCAGGAAAGAAAUCGCACAAAUUAAUACUUUGUGUGGAUGACGGUACCUGCAGAAUAAGCACCGGCUAACUACGUGCCAGCAGCCGCGGUAAUACGUAGGGUGCAAGCGUUAAUCGGAAUUACUGGGCGUAAAGCGUGCGCAGGCGGUUCGGAAAGAGAGGUGUGAAAUCCCAGGGCUUAACCUUGGAACUGCACUUUUAACUCCCGAGCUAGAGUAUGUCAGAGGGGGGUGGAAUUCCGCGUGUAGCAGUGAAAUGCGUAGAUAUGCGGAGGAACACCGAUGGCGAAGGCAGCCCCCUGGGAUAAUACUGACGCUCAUGCACGAAAGCGUGGGGAGCAAACAGGAUUAGAUACCCUGGUAGUCCACGCCCUAAACGAUGUCAACUAGCUGUUGGGGGCUUCGGCCCUUAGUAGCGCAGCUAACGCGUGAAGUUGACCGCCUGGGGAGUACGGUCGCAAGAUU
rnacentral:rRNA from 1 species